rnacentral:rRNA from 1 species
AUGCACGCUGGCGGCGUGCCUAAUACAUGCAAGUCGCGCGAACAGACGAGGAGCUUGCUCCUCUGACGUUAGCGGCGGACGGGUGAGUAACACGUGGAUAACCUACCUAUAAGACUGGGAUAACUUCGGGAAACCGGAGCUAAUACCGGAUAACAUGUUGAACCGCAUGGUUUAACAGUGAAAGACGGUCUUGCUGUCACUUAUAGAUGGAUCCGCGCCGCAUUAGCUAGUUGGUAAGGUAACGGCUUACCAAGGCAACGAUGCGUAGCCGACCUGAGAGGGUGAUCGGCCACACUGGAACUGAGACACGGUCCAGACUCCUACGGGAGGCAGCAGUAGGGAAUCUUCCGCAAUGGGCGAAAGCCUGACGGAGCAACGCCGCGUGAGUGAAGAAGGUCUUCGGAUCGUAAAACUCUGUUAUUAGGGAAGAACAAAUGUGUAAGUAACUAUGCACGUCUUGACGGUACCUAAUCAGAAAGCCACGGCUAACUACGUG